GAAAUGCGAUAAGUAAUGUGAAUUGCAGAAUUCAGUGAAUCAUCGAAUCUUUGAACGCACCUUGCGCUCCUUGGUAUUCCUUGGAGCAUGCCUGUUUGAGUAUCAUGAAAUCUUCAAAGUAAAUCUUUUGUUAACUCAAUUGGUUUCUACUUUGGUAUUGGAGGUCUUUGCAGCUUCACACCUGCUCCUCUUUGUUCAUUAGCUGGAUCUCAGUGUUAUGCUUGGUUCCACUCGGCGUGAUAAGUUAUCUAUCGCUGAGGACACUGUAAAAGGUGGCCAAGGUAAAUGCAAAUGAACCGCUUCUAAUAGUCCAUUGACUUGGACAAUACUUUUAUGAUCUGAUCUCAAAUCAGGUAGGACUACCCGCUGAACUUAAGC
rnacentral:misc_RNA from 1 species